GUCAAAUGAUUAAGAUCACUUUUGUACAGUCUUCAUGUGCAGCAAUGCAAGGCUUUUGUGUGGUCUUCAUGCGGAAAGCCUUUCCACUUUCCGCCUCUUAUACGUACAAGUGUCUCGCUCUCCAGAAACGAAAACAGCAGAAGUACCCCAAUAUCGCAAGAAGGGAUUCGGCCUGCCGUGGUCCCAUCUCAACAACAACGACUUCGUUUCAGCCACUAGUUCCAAAUUGACACUGAUCGAGUUUUACUCUACCAAACUCAGCUCCCUUGCAAGGUGCUGGUUCAGAACUAGUAUAUCAUAGGCUGCCUUGGAAGGGACCUGAUGCACUCUACAUGCUGGAGGUUAUAUGAAGACAAUGGUUGCCUAAACAAGCCUUAUGGUCUGCAAGUUCUUCCAGUAGGAUUUUUCCAGAGCAGCUACAGUAGCCAGCAGAGGUCUUCGCCAUCAAAUCAAGAUUCACACCUUGUUCUUGUACAUCGUUUGGGAAAGUGCACAUCAUGUUAGCUUCAUGACUAAAAAAAUUACCAAGAUAGUGUUUCACUGUAAAGUGAGCAGGGUUGAGUGGGGACCACUUAUUGGGAAGGUGUACCGAAGGAAGAAAAAGGGUGAGAGCAGCGGAAAAAUGCUAAGUAGUGAAAUGGAAUCAGUUAAUAAAGAGAUAACAGUAACCAAUUGGCACACGUGGAGGUUGGAUAUGGAAAGAUGGGAUAAUGAGCAAAUCAGCAUAUUAAAGGUAGAGGAAGAAAUGGAAGGCAAGAAUUUGGAAGAUACUUCAGUAAGUUUGGGGGCUCCGCCCUGGGAGGAUCUGGCAACUGUGUUGCCAGAAUAUUUUCACUUGCAUUUGCUGUGAACUUUGCUAUUUCUGUUGACUGUGGAUUUUUGGACUGCUUUAUUAUUUUCUGGAUAAUAAUAAUAAAGUGCUGUGUUUGGGUUUCUUGUUUGUAUCUCUGUUGGAUUACAUUUUUUGUGGUGUUUGAGGGUGAUUGUGGCUGGAGGAGAGUUAUUGUGAUUAAGAGAAGUUGCAGGUUGCAGGUUGCAGGGAAUAUUGCUGGAGGGAAGCCAUAGCCGCAUAUAACGGAUCAGUGGUACAAACUUGGAGCUUUGUACAUGGUAAAUUUCAAAGAUAUACUAGGUGGUAAUAAGUGGGAUAGUUGAGGAGGAUGAGGUAACAACACAGCAAAACAUCUUUUUCAGAAUUUCCCUAUAUAAUUUUGCCAUUAAUGUUUUUGUGCUUAUGUGAUGUGUUGUCAUUCUGUAGCUUAGCUAAGAAUUGUUCUUGUACAGGCCACAAAAUGAGCUAACCAUCUAUAUCGACUCUUUUUUUGUAUCUAUUAUAUUGUUACUUGAACAUAUUUUUAUGUAAAUUGAAACUUAUUUCUGCAUUAGAGAUAAUCAUCAAGUAGCCAAUUGGAAUUAUGUGAUGCACUGGUGUGGCCAAAGAGCUGUAUGUCUCUACUCCUUCAGGUUUAUCUAGCUAUUGAAUUGUGUUCAAUUAAUAUAUCUAUAACUUCUAUCUAGUUGCUGGACCACAGAUUUAAAAUGAUGAACAUAAUCCUUUUUCUGUUUUUGAACUUGAGAUAUAUUGUACUGUUCACCAUAUUCCUCCUAGUAUUUACUGUGUCAUUCACCCUCAGGGCUGUGCUUGGUUUUCCACCUCCUUUAUCAUUUGCCUUUUUUUUUUUUCCCCUCACUGUGUUAGUCCCCAGUUAAUUUAGGAAAUUUGGGGUAAUUUAGGAACUUAGAGUGAUUUAAGAAUUUACUAAAUUUUUGGCAAAUUUUGGAAUAAGGAUUAACAAUUAGAUUAUUGAUUACCAAUUAGGAAUAUUAGUAUAUUAGCAGUCCAAUUAGGAUUUGAAUUGAACAAAUAAUAUUACCAAUUAGGAUUAGGAGUAAGGUUUGGUUCUUAAUUCAAUAAAUAGUAGGUUUUAGGGAGGAUUAGGUCAACUUUUGAGAACCCAAUUUCAGAGUAGCUCUCCGGGAGGUGAAGCACCACCAGUGAUCUCUUGAUGGCUGGAGAUAUUGGAUUUUUCAAUUGAACUCAUUAUUUCAAUCAAUAAAAUUCAAUUUUUUCAAUAUAAAUUUCAAUUAAUUCCAUUACAAUCAAAAGCCAACCCUCACCAUCGAAGGUCGCAACAUGUUGUUUUCUAAACAAUAAGACUAGAAGUUAAAGACCUUGAGAAAGAUGUGCAAAAUAUAUCAUAGUUGUUAAAAGCGAAAAGCACUUAAAGGUGCAAUGAGGGGUCCUAUUGUCUAGGCGAAAAAAAUAAGGUGAAGGUGUCUCCUUUGGAUGAAAGGCGAUAAAAAAAAUAAAAGAGAUGGUGAAUGAACAUGAAAAUGAAAGAGAAGAAAAAUCGGUAAAUAAUAAGUUGGUAAAUGGUUACAUUUAAUGUGCCAGGUGUAAAAUUUUAAUAAAGGAAAAAAAUAUAAAUUAAAUAUUAUUAAUUGGUCAUCAUCUCUCCAUCGACCUCUAUGGAAACCUCAAAACUCUUCGGUGAUCUUUUGGACAACCUUAAAUCUCUCCAACAAACGACCUUAGAACUGGCCGACUACCUUUUCAAUGACCUUAGAACUUCUUGUCAACUUCUAUGAUGACCUUGAAACUCGCCGAUAUCUCUCAAAAUUCCCUCUAACAUCACCAAAGUUUUGUGUGAUAAUAAAACACACUUUUCUAUGCCUAAAGCUUCUCCAAAGGUGCCCAAAGCCAUUGUCUUUGGACCACUAGUCUCCCUGACAAUACUAAAGGCGCCUCGCCAGGCACGCCUUUGACAACUAUGAAGGAAACUGAGUAUUGGUUCAGGUACCCCUUCUGCUUCCUGUUAUAUCAUCAACCAUUAUGUUACUAGAUGUUAUGAAAUAUUGUGGAGGCUAUAUGAUAUCUGUCAUGAAUAGACUGUCCUCGUCCAAUUGUUUAUCAAGAAUUUCAGGGUGUUUGUUGCAUUUCCUGUAUCUGAAUAGAAGUUUUCUGAUCUGUCUAUGAGUUCGACAGGUUGCAAUUCAGUCUGGCUGGCCACACGAAAGACACAUUCAUCUUGCUUUUGUAUGACAUCCUUUAGUGGGUAAAAGUUGAAGUCUUGACAUCUGUAGGGUACUGGUUUUUGAGUAACAUUCCAAUUUUGUAUUGGAAUCUUGUCAUCACUUCUAAUAACUCUCAUGCCAGCAUUAGCAUUAAAUGAGGACUCAAAACUUUAUAGGAUUUUUGCACCUAGAUGGCAUUUAAAAAAAAAAAAAAGGGAUGAGGUGAUGGUGAACUGUAUUUGAAAUUAAGGGGUAAAGAAGGUAAAAGCCAAAGGUUACAGUUUGUGAUAACAGGGAGCUUGCAUAUGUUUAAGGUCAUAAAGUUGUGUUAACUCUAUCUCAUUUUCAAGAUCAAGUAUAAAGGAGACUCUAAAUGUCGAAAAGUUCAACUGUAGUGGUUAAAAGUUGUCUUGAUUGCUUCAAAUUUCUGAUUUAUAAUCUCAUGUUGCUAGUUAUUAUCCUGUCAAUUGUACCUUUUUUUGUAAUUGCAGUUGAGGAUUAGAUAUCUCCCAUCAUUAACAAUGCACAAAGUUUCACAUUUUGGAGCUUAAAAUUUUAUCUGCCUGUGUCCGUCUUAUGUUUUAUUUAAAGUAAGACUCUGAAAGUUUUUUUUUUUUAACUGAUAAGCAGGUGAUCCUCUCUAUGUUAUCUAGAGGCCAACCAAGGUCCUUUGACUCUGAAUUUGCUGACACAACUUAUAGGAUGGGUACAGAAAAACUCUUCGAGCAUGGAUGAUUUUUUUUCUUCCCUAACUUUUUUUAUUCAUGAACUGCUGUCAAAUUUCAUCUAGUUCACUGCAUAUAUAGAGUUGGUUUUUGGGUCUUUUGACCAGUCUGUUUCUGAUAGAAAAAAAAUCUUUCAUUGGGAAAAUUAGUUGAUACUCUUAAUUUUUUUAAAGUAGUCGCGUUCCUUUUAUAAGAUGCAUGCUUUUUUGCUCUUCGUACAGAUUGUUAUUCAGGGACUUGUUCCAAGAGACUCUGUUUGCUAUUUGCAUGCACCUCAAUUCAUGCUUUCGCAUCUGAUCAUAGGUGAGGUAAAUGCAUCCUUGUGUUGGUAAAUUAUUUCAGGAUUUUCAAAGCUAUGAGUAACAUUUUCAUAAAUAAAAAUUGUUAAGCCCUGAGAAGUGUAUUUAUUGUUUAUUUAUUAUAGUUUUCAUUUAAUUCCUAUUGCAACAAUUUUGUUUAUCUGCAAAUGCUGGUAAUAGAAAUUAUAGAAUUACUUGAAGCACCUCUUCCAUCCGUCCUCCAAAAACAAGUAGAUUAGUUAGAUUUUAAGGCAACACAGAUCACUGCCACGUGUAUGGAAGAAGAUAAGGCCAGAAGCAAUGCGAAAUUGGAGCCAGUUGAUGUGUUGUGGUCACACUCAAAAGCAUACACAGCCACACGCCAUUCAUGUGGCAAUGGUAAUCCUCACUGCAUCAUAUUUUCUGUAUAAAUUUUAAAAUGACAAAACUGCAACACUGUUGGUCCGCAUUUGUUUAGGUGUCAAUAUAACGAAUUUUGAAGACCCACAGGUACUCUGCAAGUUGAACCUACUUUGUUCUGACAGCUCAGUGGACAACAACACUGCACAUAGUCAAAAAGUAUUCGGCACAUUCACAUUUUUAAAAUGACAAAGACAAAAGAUGUUUUGAUUUCUGUAUUUCUACAAGCACAAGCAAUCAACAUCCAAUUAUUGGCCAUGCCCGCUUUAGAAACCCGAAUGUUUUAACAGAAGCCCCUCUCUGUAGGUCAUAAUUUCUAGAAAGAAUUGUUAGCCAUUUAAGGACGAGUGAAGAGUUGGCAAAUUGGUAGGUGUUGGAAUUGCCCCUUCAAUCUUUGACAGAUUAUUUUUGUAUUUCCCAAAUACAACAAAUACAAAUCUGCCUGCGAGAGAGAUUACAACCA